CAGUGAAUCAUCGAAUCUUUGAACGCACAUUGCGCCCGCCAGUAUUCUGGCGGGCAUGCCUGUUCGAGCGUCA
rnacentral:rRNA from 1 species